rnacentral:lncRNA from 1 species
ACGAUUAAUUGUUUUUAACUUCUGCUUUUUAAGGUUGUAUUAAUUGCUAGGGGAGGCUAGGGAUAGCAAGCUAGUAAUUAGUAUUAGGCUCUUUUAGCCGAGGGAUCGGGUUAAGGGUAGGCUAAGAAAGUUGCAUGACAAUUAAUUAAUCAAACUAAUAUUCAAGAGGAGUAGAUAAGAGAGGACGGAUUAGAUGAAAUUGUAAACCCCCAACAACUCCAUUCAUCCAUUGUUUUCUUUUGUCAAUUGAAUCAAUCUCUUUUGCAUGUUAAUAUUUUUUAUUCUCAAAUCAAAUUAAUU